AAUAGAUACCCCGGUAGUCCACGCCGUAAACGAUGAGUGCUAAGUGUUAGGGGGUUUCCGCCCCUUAGUGCUGCAGCUAACGCAUUAAGCACUCCGCCUGGAGAGUACGGUCGCAAGACUGAAACUCAAAGGAAUUGACGGGGGCCCGCACAAGCGGUGGAGCAUGUGGUUUAAUUCGAAGCAACGCGAAGAACCUUACCAGGUCUUGACAUCCCACUGACCGCUAUGGAGACAUAGUUUUCCCUUCGGGGACAGUGGUGACAGGUGGUGCAUGGUUGUCGUCAGCUCGUGUCGUGAGAUGUUGGGUUAAGUCCCGCAACGAGCGCAACCCUUGAUCUUAGUUGCCAUCAUUUAGUUGGGCACUCUAAGGUGACUGCCGGUGACAAACCGGAGGAAGGUGGGGAUGACGUCAAAUCAUCAUGCCCCUUAUGACCUGGGCUACACACGUGCUACAAUGGACGGUACAAACGGUUGCCAACCCGCGAGGGGGAGCUAAUCCGAUAAAACCGUUCUCAGUUCGGUUGUAGGCUGCAACCGCUACAUGAACG
rnacentral:rRNA from 1 species